UCAGAUUCCUCUCUCACCAACCUCUUCCCUGCUUCUUUUGGAUGCUUCACUGACAAAUUGCCGAGGAAACUGUAGUGGUGAUCCUUGGUCCAGAUGCCAAGUUGAGAAGGAAACAAGGAGACAAGGAAAUAAGAUUGAGAAAAAGGAGACGGACAUUCCAUCACAGCCCCUGUGGAGCUGCAGCAGGGACAAGCCUACCAGCCGUGAUAUCUAAUUGUGAAGAAAGGCAGAACUGCAAGGAGUACGCAGGAAUGUGUCUGCUGAGAGGUUUAUCCCGGCUUUUGAUAUUCUUCUAUGUAGCAGCUGUGUGUGCAGGUGUGGGUGGUGCAAAGGUCAACAAUGUGUCAUCAGAAAUCUGUCGUCAUCCAUGUGAGGAACUGAUGGGUUUGAUCACUGAGAUCCAGGGCCUGCGUAUUGUGACCAGCAACUUGCUUGAAGACCUGGAGCGAGUAUCAAAAGAAAAUGAAGAUAUGCGCAUAUCUUUGGCUGAGCUAAGCGAGAGCAGCAG